rnacentral:tRNA from 1 species
GGCUCCAUAGUGUAGUGGUUAGCACAUCUGCUUUGCACGCAGAAGGUCCUGGGUAUUAAAGGGGGUGGGGCACGGGGGAAGACAGUAUAUCGGGUGGUGAGAAAAUUUAGAGCCA